CUUUGGCAAGCAAUGCUAAGGAAACAGAAACGGAAGCUCAGCAGGAGAACGAAGUAGCGAAGGCGACGCUGGAAGAUGUGAUACGUCAUGACUGCCCGAACGCUGAUCAGCUGGGUUACUGCGCAUCACCACCGCGCUAUCCAACGCUACAGAUUCAAGAAGUAUACAAACGUUGCAUCCGGCUGCUGCGUGCGUUGUAUGUGCCACUGCCUGAAGAGGAUAAUACCAAGUCUAUUACCCGUGCGAACAGACACGCAUGGUCGUGGCGCGACGCAGGUCGCGAGUCAUGCUCGGGUAACGAGCGCCGGGAGGCUCCGGGCUACGUGCGCGACGCCUCGUCCGGCCGGUGGCUGGUGGUGGUGCAGACGGAGAGCAUGCCGCAGCAGG